CUCGUAGGCGGUUCAGUAAGUUGGGUGUGAAAGCUCCGGGCUCAACCCGGAGAGGCCACUCAAUACUGCUGUGACUAGAGUCCAGUAGAGGAGCGUGGAACUCCUGGUGUAGCGGUGAAAUGCGCAGAUAUCAGGAAGAACACCGGCAGCGAAGGCGGCGCUCUGAGCUGGUACUGACGCUGAGGAGCGAAAGCAUGGGUAGCAAACA
rnacentral:rRNA from 1 species